AACAUUUACCAUAAGUAAAGAUGAUCGCAUUAAUGAGGCUCACCUUCGCUUUCACUCUUGUGGCUGUACUAUUUUGCUUAAUAGAUUUGAGUGAAGCUAACUAUAAGAACGCUCCCAUGAAUGGCAUCAUGUUUGGAAAGAGAGGACCUUCAGAAUACGACUCCAGAGGUAAAACUUUGACAGCUCUGUGUGAAAUCGCAAUAGAAGCGUGCCAGACUUGGUUUCCUUUGCAAGAAAAUAAAUAGAAACAAUUUUUAUGAACAUGGACGACGAGACAAUAUCAACAAGAAUACAUAAAAA